AGAGGAGGUGGCCAAGUUGGAGAAGCACUUGAUGCUUCUGCGGCAGGAGUAUGUCAAGCUGCAGAAGAAGCUGGCGGAGACAGAGAAGCGCUGCGCUCUCUUGGCUGCGCAGGCAAACAAGGAGAGCAGCAGUGAGUCCUUCAUCAGCCGUCUGCUGGCCAUCGUGGCAGACCUCUACGAGCAGGAGCAGUACAGCGAUCUGAAGAUAAAGGUUGGGGACAGGCACAUCAGUGCUCACAAGUUUGUCCUGGCAGCCCGCAGUGACAGCUGGAGUCUGGCUAACUUGUCUUCCACUAAAGAGUUGGACCUGUCAGAUGCUAACCCUGAGGUGACGAUGACAAUGCUUCGCUGGAUCUAUACAGAUGAGCUGGAGUUCAGAGAGGAUGAUGUGUUCCUGACGGAACUGAUGAAACUAGCAAAUCGGUUUCAGCUGCAGCUCCUCAGGGAGAGAUGUGAGAAGGGUGUUAUGUCUCUAGUGAAUGUCAGGAACUGUAUUCGCUUCUACCAGACGGCAGAGGAGCUGAAUGCCAGCACACUGAUGAACUACUGUGCAGAAAUUAUUGCAAGUCAUUGGGACGACCUGAGGAAGGAGGAUUUCAGCAGCAUGAGCGCUCAGUUGUUAUACAAAAUGAUCAAAUCCAAGACGGAGUACCCGCUACAUAAAGCCAUCAAAGUGGAGAGAGAAGACGUGGUUUUCCUGUAUCUGAUUGAAAUGGAUUCCCAGCUCCCUGGGAAGCUGAAUGAAGCGGAUCAUAACGGAGAUCUGGCAUUAGAUCUAGCCCUUUCACGACGACUGGAGAGUAUUGCCACCACGCUGGUUACUCACAAAGCUGAUGUGGACAUGGUGGACAAGAGUGGCUGGAGCUUGUUACACAAAGGAAUCCAAAGAGGAGAUCUCUUUGCUGCCACUUUCCUCAUUAAGAAUGGGGCCUUGGUCAACGCUGCUACACUGGGUGCCCAGGAGACACCACUGCACCUUGUGGCCUUGUACAGUUCAAAGAAACACUCAGCAGAUGUGAUGUCUGAGAUGGCGCAGAUUGCAGAGGCCCUUCUGCAGGCUGGUGCCAACCCCAACAUGCAGGACAGCAAGGGGAGGACUCCUUUACAUGUGUCCAUCAUGGCCGGGAAUGAAUAUGUGUUCAGUCAGCUGCUGCAGUGCAAACAACUAGAUUUAGAACUCAAAGACCACGAGGGCAGCACGGCUCUGUGGCUGGCAGUGCAGCAUAUCACAGUGUCUUCUGACCAGUCUGUGAACCCCUUCGAAGAUAUCCCCGUGGUAAAUGGGACUUCAUUUGAUGAGAACAGCUUUGCAGCCAGACUCAUCCAGCGCGGCAGCCACACAGACGCACCUGACACGGCGACAGGUAAAGCACAUGCCUCCCGAAGGGGCGACGCUGGGGUCUGCAGGCGCCAGGAAAUGGCGUGUAAAUGCUUUCACCCCAAAUUUAGAAACUGAACGGCAUACUAUGAGGAUAAUUAUUUUGUACUUAAUUUUAUAUACAGUAAAAGCCUGGGUUGUCAUUUUUAAAAAUCCUGUGCUUCAAACAAUUGAGCAGACAUCAAGUCCCUGAAACUGAAACUUCCAUAUAUUUAAUGCGGUGACUCGCAGACUCUUUGGACUCAAGAAUUCCUUUGACCGUCUUAAAAAUUGUACCCCAGAGAGCUUUUCUUUAGGUGGGUUAUAACUUCAGUAUUUACCAUAUUAGACUACACUUUGAGAACACUGUUUUAAUGUAUUUCCUUGAUCUGACUAAAUAAAAUAACAGGGAUAUUUUAAGGAGAGGGAUUUGGUAUAAUUCAGUAUUGAGUACUGGCAAUGCAUAAAACAUGGGUAAGUGUCACUCACACAGGAAGACUUGACCAAAAAAAAAAAA
rnacentral:sRNA from 1 species